GUCCACGCCGUAAACGAUGAAUGCCAGCCGUUAGUGGGUUUACUCACUAGUGGCGCAGCUAACGCUUUAAGCAUUCCGCCUGGGGAGUACGGUCGCAAGAUUAAAACUCAAAGGAAUUGACGGGGGCCCCGCACAAGCGGUGGAGCAUGUGGUUUAAUUCGACGCAACGCGCAGAACCUUACCAGCCCUUGACAUCCCGGUCGCGGACUCCAGAGAUGGAGUUCUUCAGUUCGGCUGGACCGGAGACAGGUGCUGCAUGGCUGUCGU
rnacentral:rRNA from 1 species